CUUGAACGCUGGCGGCAGGCCUAACACAUGCAAGUCGAGCGAGCGGCGGACGGGUGAGUAAUGUAUGGGGAUCUGCCCGAUAGAGGGGGAUAACUACUGGAAACGGUAGCUAAUACCGCAUACCAUCAGAUGAACCCAUAUGGGAUUAGCUGGUAGGUAAGGUAACGGCUUACCUAGGCGACGAUCCCUAGCUGGUCUGAGAGGAUGAUCAGCCACACUGGGACGUGGACACGGCCCAGACUCCUACGUGAGGCUGCAGGGGGGAAUAUUGUACAAUGGACGCAAACCUGAUGCAGCCAUGCCGCGUGUAUGAAGAAGGCCUUAGGGUUGUAAAGUACUUUCAGCGGGGAGGCGUUACCCGCAUAAGAAGCACCGGCUAACUCCGUGCCAGCAGCCGCGGUAAUAC
rnacentral:rRNA from 1 species